AACGAUGGGAUAUACUGAAAGAGUAAAUGAAUUACUUCUAUGUAUUAUAUUUCCGACGUCUUCCUUGCUUCUCACACCAAAGCCACUCCAGUGCCUUUCAACGUCGCCUCAGGUUUUGUUCUUUUCUUGUUGGCUUAAAAGUUUACCAAGAGUUAAUUACUUUAAGCUUGUUGUUAUAUUGUUUUAUUCUGGCCAUGGACUCCAGAAUUAUGCAGACUUCGUCCCUUGACACU